GCCCGCUUGGCGCAGUGGCUCAACGCGUUGCAAUCUGAGUGCAAAGGUCCCAGGUUCGAAUCCUGGAGCGGGCA